rnacentral:rRNA from 1 species
UACAGAGGGGGCAAGCGUUGUUCGGAAUUACUGGGCGUAAAGCGCACGUAGGCGGCUUUGCAAGUUAGAGGUGAAAGCCCAGGGCUCAACCCUGGAAUUGCCUUUAAAACUGCAUCGCUAGAAUUGUGGAGAGGUAAGUGGAAUUCCGAGUGUAGAGGUGAAAUUCGUAGAUAUUCGGAAGAACACCAGUGGCGAAGGCGACUUACUGGACACAUAUUGACGCUGAGGUGCGAAAGCGUGGGGAGCAAACAGG